UUUCCGCCCCCCUCCUCCCGCUGGCAGGCCGCAAGCAGUAGGUAGCCCCUCAGCCAUUCCCAGCCAGUUGCCACUAGGAGAGGCGGUGCUGGCUGGGUCACAGUCCAGGGGCUGCCCGAGGGAGGGGCUAGGCCGCCCGCUACCUGCAGCUGGACGCCGCACGCCUUGUCCGCUGCAACGCUCAUGGGGAGCCCCGAAACUACCUCAACACCCUGUCCACGGCUCUGAACAUCCUGGAGAAAUACGGCCGCAACCUUCUCAGCCCUCAGCGGCCUCGGUACUGGCGUGGUGUCAAGUUUAAUAACCCUGUCUUUCGCAGCACGGUGGAUGCUGUGCAGGGGGGCCGAGAUGUGCUGCGAUUAUAUGGCUACACAGAGGAGCAACCAGAUGGGUUGAGCUUCCCCGAAGGGCAGGAGGAGCCAGAUGAGCACCAGGUUGCUACAGUCACACUGGAAGUACUGCUGCUUCGGACAGAGCUCAGCCUGCUAUUGCAGAAUACUCAUCCAAGACAGCAGGCACUGGAGCAGCUGUUGGAAG
rnacentral:misc_RNA from 1 species